AUUGAACGCUGGCGGCAGGCCUAACACAUGCAAGUCGAGCGGAUGAAGGGAGCUUGCUCCUGGAUUCAGCGGCGGACGGGUGAGUAAUGCCUAGGAAUCUGCCUGGUAGUGGGGGAUAACGUCCGGAAACGGGCGCUAAUACCGCAUACGUCCUGAGGGAGAAAGUGGGGGAUCUUCGGACCUCACGCUAUCAGAUGAGCCUAGGUCGGAUUAGCUAGUCGGUGGUGUAAAGGCCUACCAAGGCGACGAUCCGUAACUGGUCUGAGAGGAUGAUCAGUCACACUUGAACUGGCGCAGGGCGCUAGGUCCUACGGGAAGCAGCAGAGGGGUAUAUUAGACAAUGGGCGAAAGCCUGAUCCCACCCUGCCGCGUGUGUGAAGAAGGUCUUCGGAUUGUUAAGCACGUUAAGUUGGGAGGAAGGGCAGUGAGUUCAUACCUUGCUGUGUUGACGUUACCUGCAGAAUAAGCGCCGGCUAACUCCGUG
rnacentral:rRNA from 1 species